GAUGAACGCUAGCGGGAGGCCUAACACAUGCAAGCCGAGCGGUAUUGUUUCUUCGGAAAUGAGAGAGCGGCGUACGGGUGCGUAACACGUGUGCAACCUGCCUUUAUCUGGGGGAUAGCCUUUCGAAAGGAAGAUUAAUACUCCAUAAUAUAUUGAACGGCAUCGUUUAAUAUUGAAAGCUCCGGCGGAUAGAGAUGGGCACGCGCAAGAUUAGCUAGUUGGUGAGGUAACGGCUCACCAAGGCGAUGAUCUUUAGGGGGCCGGAGAGGGUGAUCCCCCACACUGGUACUGAGACACGGACCAGACUCCUACGGGAGGCAGCAGUGAGGAAUAUUGGUCAAUGGGUGCAAGCCUGAACCAGCCAUCCCGCGUGAAGGACGACUGCCCUAGGGGUUGUAAACUUCUUUUGUAUAGGGAUAAACCUACCCUCGUGAGGGUAGCUGAAGGUACUAUACGAAUAAGCACCGGCUAACUCCGUG
rnacentral:rRNA from 1 species